rnacentral:rRNA from 1 species
AUACGGAGGAUGCGAGCGUUAUCCGGAUUUAUUGGGUUUAAAGGGUGCGCAGGCGGGCGAUUAAGUCAGCGGUGAAAGGCUCGGGCUCAACCGGAGCAGUGCCGUUGAUACUGGUUGUCUUGAAUGCGGUCAAGGCCGGCGGAGUGUGGCGUGUAGCGGUGAAAUGCAUAGAUAUGCCACAGAACACCGAUAGCGAAGGCAGCUGGCCGGGCCUGCAUUGACGCUGAGGCACGAAAGCGUGGGGAUCGAACAGGAUUAGAUACCCUGGUAGUCCACGCUGUAAACGAUGGACACUCGUUGUCGGCGACAGACAGUCGGCGGCCAAGCGAAAGUGAUAAGUGUCCCACCUGGGGAGUACGGUCGCAAGGCUGAAACUCAAAUGAAUUGA